AUCCUUUUCCUUUAGAAGAAGGAUUCCUUAUGUCACCUCCUAGGAAAAGCCUUCUCUGUUCACCCUAAUAAGAUAGCCCAACCACCCCCAUUCUAGUCUCUCUCCAUCAGAUUGGCUUCUUUUUACCCUUCCACGCCAGCAUUAUCACAGUCUAACAAUAGUCUGUUUCCUUGUUUUAUUGACUGAAUCCCUGCAUUAGGCUGUAAGCUGCAUGAGACCAGGAUCCUAAGCUGUCACUUUCAACACUGUUUCCCCAGGCACUANNAGAUAGAGCUCAAGGGCAAUUCAUCUCUUACUGAAUUCCUCUCUGGA
rnacentral:lncRNA from 1 species